GUUGCUUCACCCCCGAAAAGACGAACUCCCACAUUUGAGUGUUAGCGAAACAGAGAUUCAGAGAGAAGACAGAGCACGCCACCAAAACCCUAUGUUUGCCGCCAUAGCCAUUGCCGCCUCUGUCGCCACCAUAGUUCAUCUACUCUCCAGAUCUGGUUGAUCGUAACGUUAAAGCCUUUGAGUUAUUCAAUGUUCUUGUGCCUUUGAUGCAUCUUAAAUCGAACACCUUGCACAUAUCAAGAAAAAACAUUGCCUUCGUGUGAAUGAAGGUUCUACACCCUUUUGACUAUCACUCUUGGCAUAGUGGGAGGAUGGAGAUGGAGCAUCAACUCCAUGUAUUUACAAGAAAGAAUGUCCUGAUUGCAAGAGUUUGUUAGAAUUUUAGGCCUACUAGUAAUAAACUCAACAAUAAGCUUCAUAGGAGAAAAUAAUGCUAAUAAUGCUGCAACAACACUGAUGGUUCAUUUAGCUCCUAAAACAAAGGUUCUAAGGGAUGGGCAGUGGCAAGAGCAAAAUGCAGCCAUAAUUUAAAAGGGUAUAAUGAUGACCACUUGAUCCUUGUUAAUUUUCAUACUAGAAUUCUAUUUAAAUAUUGUAUGAGUAUUGGAAAGGUGUUUUUUUAACUGCAUAUUUGCAUUCAAUGUUGAUCAUCCUUAGAUUAAAUAAUUAUGAAAUGAAAGAGAUUUAUAAUCUAAUAGAAGGUUGUGAAAUAGACGAGUAUUUUAGGACGAAUAAUAAUGAGGGGUUGAAUUUUGGGGCAUUGAUAAAAAAAUUUAUUAAAGGGUUUGUUAGGGUGUUUGAA